AGAGUUUGAUCCUGGCUCAGGACGAACGCUGGCGGCGUGCUUCACACAUGCAAGUCGAGCGGAAAGGCCCUUCGGGGUACUCGAGCGGCGAACGGGUGAGUAACACGUGAGUAACCUGCCCUUAGCACCGGGAUAGCUCCGGGAAACCGGAAUUAAUACCGGAUAUGACCACGAUCGGCAUCGGCCGUGGUGGAAAGGAUUCCGGCUAGGGAUGGACUCGCGGCCUAUCAGCUAGUUGGUUGGGGUAACGGCUCACCAAGGCUUCGAUGGGUAGCUGGUCUGAGAGGACGAUCAGCCACACUGGGACUGAGACACGGCCCAGACUCCUACGGGAGGCAGCAGUGGGGAAUUUUGCGCAAUGGGGGAAACCCUGACGCAGCAACGCCGCGUGGAGGAUGAAGUCCCUUGGGAUGUAAACUCCUUUCGAUCGGGACGAUUAUGACGGUACCGGAAGAAGAAGCACCGGCUAACUCUGUGCCAGCAGCCGCGGUAAA
rnacentral:rRNA from 1 species